CGCCGGGGGUGCCAGCCGCCUCCUCUGGCCGCCGGCCCGUCGGCCCUGCAAAGUUUAACGCCAAUUCCCCUUGCGUCCUGGGAGCCGAGCGUUUUCUCUCCCUGCUGACGCUCCCAGCAGCUCUGCCUGGCCAGGCCAGGCUGGAGAGCACCCGGACCAUUUUCCAGACGGUGAGAUGGAGCCCUGGAAACCGAGCUUAUGAGCAGCCCGGAGCUUUCCAUUGCCUGCCCAGCCUUCCAGAUACAUCCCAGUUCCAGUUCUUUCCAGAGCCCUCUGGGAUCCAGCCAGCCUGCUUCCCCGCCAGGGCCUCACUGCUUCCAAAAACCCAUUUCACCUUCACAGCCUACUUCCCAGAAAUUUGGUGGCUGCCUCUGUGCUAUGAUUUGGUUGCUACCUGCUGAAGCUUCAACCUCUCAUCACUACCAGAAGGACCACAUCACUAAAAGUCCAUCAAUGGGGUUACUCACUUUGAUGGGCCUGUGCAGCGUCAUUCAGGAAGCCCGUGGUACUCACAUCACUCUGGCCAGACGCUAACAAGAAAAUGAUCCACUGUGACGCAGCCGACCCCAUCCAGUGCAUCCACAUUACCUGGAAAGAAGCAAUUAUGCCCCUUUGGUUUCCUUGGAAAUGCUUGGUCUGUCUCUACCAUCCGCCCUGGCUCUUGAGAAAUACUCAUGCACGGUAGAGCUUUGACAGGGAGACAGUGUGUUUAUUUUCCAACUGAAAGUUUACAGAAUACAAAGUGAGCCUGUAAGAUGGUGGCCACUCUCCAGAGGCUUGUUGGUCAGACAGGAAAGAAAACCAGUGCACCAUCGGGAACGUGGAGGAGGCUGAAAGAGAGGGACAAACAUAUUGGAUUGGAUUGGGCCCCCACAGUCAAGUUCCUGCAAACCAAGCUGGGAGAUUUUCCUGACUAAGGGUUAUGUUCUUGGGCCUCAAAGCUCCCCAGCCAACGCCCAGCUUCUGUGCCGAGGAGGAUACAGGAGGACAGACACAGCCUCUGUGUCAGGAGGAGGGAAGAAGGACUAAUGUCUGUGGACACUCUGAGGCUCACAGGGAGAAGCCACACACUCGCAGCACCAGGUAUAUUAUCUCUGUUCUCCCACUAGACUUUAAGCUCAGUGGAUGCCAGGACCCUUAGAACAAAGCACAUAGCAAGUUUUCAGUGAAGCCUUGUUAACUUUCAAAUGAAGGAAUAAACGAAUGACUAUAUUUCCACUUCGCAGAUGAGUAAACAGAGGCUUGGAGGGGUGAUGAAAUUUGCCAACAGUCAUCAAUCGUUCCAGGAACAGGUGAUGCUUCCCGGCAGUGAGACUCGAAACCAGCGGGAGUUCCCAGCCAGAGACAUGAUCUAAGUGCCAAUGGCUGAAUGUCUGUGAGCAUUUCAAGUCAUUUUAAGAAUAGGCAACAUUAGCGGCACCAUUAAAGCCUGCUGUUCCUCCAGCCCAUCACUGCCAUCCCCACCUAUUAAAAUAAUGGCAUGAAAAAUAAACAGCCUUUAUGUACA
rnacentral:lncRNA from 10 species